GAAGGAUUCCAUGGAAGACGACAAUUCCGACGAAAGGAGCCACCCUGCGCCUCUCUCAAGGAGCUUCCCUUCGGUGGACAUGGCGCAAACGACAAGGGAAGCAGAAGAAGAGGAGGACUCGGGAACGGGCUGCGCCACAGGACAGUGUGCCCACCACCCCGAGGCACCAGAGGCUCCUGGGGUGCUCCGACAAAGGGAGCCACAG